rnacentral:rRNA from 1 species
AUGAUAUUAGGGGUGGAUUGGUUGAAAAAGUACAGCCCCAUUCAAAUGGAUUUCAUAAAAAUGGAAAUGAGAAUAUUAGCACAGAAUGGCCAGUUGAUUUCUUUUGUGGAUGAAACUAUACCACUGACUGGUCUAUCAGAAAGUACUGAAAGUCCUGAUAAGUUACUGGAACAAGCUGUUUGUGGGUUCUUUCUGUUUACUUCUUCUGGAUGUGAAGUAGUGGCUGCAGCUCAGGAAAUUCCAUCAGAAUUAUUGCCCUUAUUGGAGGAUUAUGAGAAGGUAUUCCAGGAACCUCAGGGACUGCCACCUAGCAGAUCUUGUGACCAUAGAAUUCCAUUGAUGGAGGGAGCUAAAGUGGUUAAUCAGAGGCCUUAUAGAGUCCCUCAUCAUCAGAAGGAGAUCCUGGAGAAAAUUAUAUUAGAGCUGUUAAAAAAGGGCAUAAUAAGGCCUAGCACAAGUCCAUUUUCUUCUCCAGUGUUGUUGGUCAAGAAAAAAGAUGGGACCUGGAGACUGUGCACUGAUUAUAGGAAACUGAAUGCAAUUACUGUGAAAAAUAAAUACCCCAUACCAGUAAUUGAGGAUCUGUUGGAUCAGCUAAAAGGAGCCAAGUAUUUCUCUAAAAUUGAUCUGAGAAAUGGUUAUCACCAGAUCAGAAUGGCUGAGGAGGAUAUUCACAAAACAGCAUUUUCCACUCAUAUGGGCUUGUUUGAGUAUUUAGUAAUGUCCUUUGGACUUACUAAUGGACCUCCCUCCUUUCAGGCAUUGAUGAAUUUGUUGUUUGGUCUGUUGAAGUUUGUAGUGGUCUUCUUUGAUGAUAUAUUAGUGUUCAGUUUCUCUUUGGAAGAGCACAAGGUUCACUUGGCACAGGUAUUUGAUAUUCUGCAAGCUAACAAGUUGUAUGCUAGAAUGGAGAAGUGUUCUUUUGGGCAGCAGGAAGUUGAGUAUUUGGGCCACAUAAUCAGCUCAGAGGGAGUGUCUACUGACCCUUCUAAAAUCAAAGCUAUUCAGGAGUGGCCCACUCCCACUACUGUCACUGAACUAAGAAGUUUUUUGGGUUUAAGUGGCUAUUAUAGGAGGUUCAUUCAAGGAUAUGGCAUAAUUUGUAGGCCUCUCUUUGAUUGCUUGAAGAAAGAUGCUUUUUUUUGGACAGAUAAGCAAACAGAGGCCUUCCUCACCUUGAAACAGAAACUGACUAGUGCUCAUGUCUUAGCACUGCCUGAUUUUACUAAGCCCUUCAUACUGGAAGCUGAUGCUUGUGGCUAUGGUUUAGGUGUUGUGUUAAUGCAGGAAGGGAGGCCCAUUUCUUUCUUUAGCAAGAGUAUUGGUCCCAAGGCUGCUGCUAUGUCCACUUAUGAUAAAGAGGCCCUUGCCAUAAUUGAAGCAGUGAAGAAGUGGAGGCACUAUUUCUUGGCAACUUCCCUGGUCAUUAGAACUGAUCAAGAAAGUCUGAAAUACAUUCAGGAACAGAAGAUAACUUAA